ensembl:lncRNA
AGAAACUUUUGUAGAGGCAGAGAGAGAGUCUGUUUCUGAAGCUGCAGAAUCAAGUCAGCUUGAAGUAUCGGGAGAUACUGCCAAAGUAGGAAAUGCUGAAGGCAUAAUUGUUGAUGAUAGCGCUGAUGCUGGGGCUGAACAGAUCUCAAACACAUCCUCCUCUCUCAAAAAUAAAACUUACUGCUACAUUUGUGGAAAACUACAGACAAAGUUUACACGUCACCUAAAACGUCAUGAGAAAACUCAUGCAGAUGUUGCUCAAGUUUUAAGUCUUCCCAAGAAGUCCAAACAGCGCCAGAAAAUGCUUAUAAAGCUACGCAACAAGGGAAACCACAUUCAUAACUCGGAGGUCUUAGCAAGUGGAGUUGGAUCCUUAAAACUAAGACGCACAGCAAAGACAAAAUACAAUGCAAAAGACUAUAUUCACUGCAUGUACUGCCAGGCAUUAUAUCUCCGAAGAGAUCUGUGGCGACAUGUGAAGAAAUGUUCUUCAAAACCAGUAGAAGCCAAUUCAGAGAUUGGAAGAAAAAAGGUAUUGUCUUUGGCCUCUAUGAAUGAGUCAGCUCUUUCUCAGCAAAUAUCCCCAGGUGUUUGGAAGAUUUUAGCUGUCAUGAAAGACGAUGAGAUAACUGCUACUGUGCGAAGUGACUAUUCUAUUCUUCAGCUGGCCCAGUCAUUUUUUAAUAAACAUGCACAGGAUCCCACCAAAUAUGACUAUAUUCGCCAGACACUCAGAGAAAGUGGAAGACUUCUGCUUACGCUUCGCAAGGAAUUCUCAAUACAAACUCUUGAAGAUGCUGUGAGACCAGCAAAUUUUGAUGUGGUGAUCAAAGCUGUUAAGAAAGUGUCUGGGUACGAUGAUGAAAAGCACUGCUACCGUACUCCAAGCCUUGCAUUAAAGUUGGGUCACUCACUCCAGAAAGUCAGUGACAUUUUACAUUGUAGAGCACUGAUGGCAGAAGACAGUAACCUGAUAAAGUCAACCCAGAGUUUUAAAACCCUCUAUGCUACAAAGUGG